AAACUGAAUGGCUAAUACAAUGAUAUUUGACAAAAAUCAGCUGCACUUACAGUUAGAGAGUAAGAGAUCAGAAUAUUAGAUAUUUACAUAUUUGUAAUCCAGAUAUAAGUCUACAUUAGCAGACAGAACUGAUCUGCCUCCCACAUUUGCCGUUUGCGGUGUGCUUCAUCACCAAAUGGAGAGAGAAAAGAUAAAAAAGCCAAAGUAUUUGAACCAAAUCAACUAUAUUUGAUAUUCUCUUUAAUCUGAUCAUAUUAACAUUCAAAAAUUCCUCCUUCCUAUACAAUUUUCAGAUGCAUCAUGCAUCUUACAUUAGCAAAAGAUGGAAGAUAUGAGAAGGUAAUCCAAAGAAAUUAUACUCAGGCUCAGUUUGCUAUCAAUAGACUUGGGGACUUUUCUAGUUGACGUUGAGGUUAAUGAGUGAUUUGGUUUGAGUGUUGUAUGGACCAAAAACAAAUGAAAUUGGCUACAGGGCAUUUCCAGUACAAUAAGAAUGUGAGUAGCACAUUAGCAAAAUUACGUAUUUGGGAAUCAAAUACUCUGCUGAUCGGCAACAUCUAUCAGUGGAGAAUACCUUAAUGGAGUUUCUUGAGGACCAAGCAUAUCGAGAUGUUCCAGAAUUGGUGUCAUCUUGCAUCCAAUGAUAUGCACAAGAGAGUUCGAGUGACCAUUCAGAAAGACUUCUGUAAUCUGCACCAAAUACAGAACAUCUUAAUUCAAACAGUAUGAUACAUCGCCUUCCAAUUUCUGUUGCUAGUAACGUAAUCUAGGUGUCAGUGAAAUAUAAUGGACAAACAAUGUCAGAGGCUAUGCACUGAGAUUAAUGCUACCUAACAAAAAAGAAAUGCAAAUACCUUAGUGAUACCUUGAUAAACCAGAGAAGAAAAUCAUAAAAUAGCCUUGACAAACUAAAUCGUGAAACCAAAAUUUGUAGACAACAUGAGGCAGCUUACAGGCUAUUCAACUACCAGACACCUUGUACUUGGGCCUCCAACUACAAAGUAGUACUGCAACCCCCAAUCCUCCAUCCCACAAAUGAUUAUCGAGUAGGCAAUAGGGAAGUAAUUCUCUUUAUAUGUAGAUUCAAUUAACUCAGUGCUAUGUUGGCAUUGCACCAAAUCAGUGCAGCUUCGUAAUAUCAUCCAGAGAUCCAAUAAUGAUUUAGUAAAAUAAUUUCCAAGAAGGCAGCUUGGCACCUAUACUAAAAAUAUUUUCAAUUGAUCAAGUGCCCCGAUAAGAGUGCAUUAACCAGUUUUGCAUAGUUAUGUUAUCUAGACUCCUCACAAGACAAACCAUAGAUGAAAGCAUGCCUUUAUGGUAACAGAUAAAAGUUACAAAAAAAAAAUUAUGCAUCCAGAUAUUGACAAGUAAAACUUAAAUAACAAGAAAAAUCUGUCUCUUGAUGAAAAUAAGCAUGUGAAUCACUAGUUCAUGUUGCCUCCUUUAUUCCAUAUGCCAAAAAAGCAAUAACAAGCUGAAAAUACUUGCUAUGUCUUAUGGGGCACCAGAAAAUAGAAAAUAAACAUGAAAAGAGAAGUUCACAAAAACCAAACAUAUUUUGAAUCAUAUACUUUCUUUCUUUUUUUAAAAAAAAAAGAUUGGUUAUUCUAACAGAACAACAAAUUUCUUCAGAAAAGGAAGUGUAAAUAUUUGCUACAAUCCACAGAAAAGUGGAGAAAAGUUUUGAUGGCCCAAAGUUAAAAAUGAAACUGGCUCAACAUGUUGCAUUUGUACCUGUGUGCACCCAAAAAGUGUGAGCACCUUCAGUGAAGAGCAGCUGUCAACAAUCAAUCCCAGUGCCUCAUUUGUUAAUUUGCGACACCAUGAUAAGUCCAAACUCAACAAGCUUCUCAAACAUUUCGCAAUUGCUAAGGCAGUGUGGAGACUGACCUGUAAAAGGUUAUUACUCAUAAAGUUGCAAAUAUAAGAUGAUAAUGUGACUCCAAGUUAUGAAAUUCAUCAAAGAGGACCACAAGUACCAUUCAAAUUUACUGUUCCUAGCCCCUGUACAGGCUAAUUCUAGCCAAAUCAACCUAUUUCACUCCAAUUUGACUUCCAGAUAAAAACAUUGUUUCUCUUAACACAUUCCUAAAAUUUUAGGCAUAGCUCACCCAAAUUGAUUGCUAACUAUAUAUAUAUAUAAUUUAAGGUCUUAUAUUAACAAUUGAAGGUUGAAUGUUCGUAUUAAAAGUUGGAAUAUUAUUAUUAGUAUUAUUAUUGUUGCUGUUGUUGUUGUUGUUAUCAUUUACAUCCAUAGUUCCAUACAAAUAUAGAUUAUCACAACAUCUUGUUAGAAACCCUCUUUAAGGUUAAUGUGCACCAGCAUUUACAAUGUUCAUAAAAAGGGUGCCAUGAAAUAUAUUCAAAAUAUGAUGACAGAACCAUGAGUUUAAGCAUGCCUCUGAUGAAUGAAAGAAAGAAUAUUGUGCAUAAAGCAAAAAGUAAAAAGCAUCAUAAUGUAUGAAUAUUGAUUUGAUAUACAUCAUCACACCACUCGCUACUCCGAGACAACUUUUCUCUGGUUCUGGGAGGGAUAGGAAAGGAAGGCAGAAUGCCAGAAGUAAGGUUAGGUGAGACUGAUGAUAACUCACCCUACUGAUGUUAUUCAGUGAAAGCACAUUUACAGACUCCCCAGAGGCUUCCAAGAAGGCAGCAACAGCUUCAUCACUGUAAUUUGUAGAAAAUUAUGUGGUUAAAUCUCUAACAUAAAGUAACAAACAAUCUAUAUGUGUAACCAUAAUUGGUGGAGUGAACAACAAAAGUUCAAUGAAUCAAUUCAGUGAUUCUUAAGAGUCCAAUCAAUUUCAAAAUCUAAUAUAUAAGAAUUUAAAAUUUUAAGAGGUAGGCAGUAGAAACUCUAAUAACUACAUUAACAGCAAUUAUUUGAUAACAGCUGCAGGGUCCCAUUCAACUUAUCAAAAGUCAUGAUGCUUGUAUGAACCUCAGAAACAUUUGCUUAGAGUUCUUUUGCUUUCCUACUCUGCAUUUUGGAUCUUCCACUAACGGUAAUACAGAGUAAAUCAUCCAAUUUCAGAUCUUGGUUCAUACUUCCCAGGCAUGCUCAGCACUAGAAAAAAUCUUCAGACCUUGCCAACCAUCCAUCAUAACAUCCUCAUCUAGGUCGAGAUUACCUCAUAUCCUAAGGAGCUGAAUGCCUACUUACACCUCAAAACAUAGACAUAGACUAUCCCUCCUGUUUUUAGUUAUGGAUGCUGAAGUCAUGAAAAACUCUCUAGAAACAAAAUUCUGUUUCAGCCCCCCAGCCUAUUUCUGUGGGCAAUGUAACCUCAGUCUUCCCAACAGAGUAAGCGACUGGCCAGUAACUCAGAUCCCCCAACUGCUAAUUCCAAGGUCAACAAAAUUAUCAGGAGGGUUCAUCAUGCAAUAGGAUUCACAAAAAAGUGUGAUUAAUUAAUUACUUGUAAACUACAUGGUAGGUGCAUUUGCAGAAUGUUGGAACUAGCUCAAGUAGAAAACAAUACUAGCGAUAAAUAUGCAAGUGAAUAAUAAAUUUCAUCUUAAAUUAAUACAUGCCCAAAUGAAAAUGGAAAUGAUUCAGAAAUGUAUAUAUAAAACCUGAAAUCAUUUCGGCAAAGUUUCAAUUUAUGAAUUGAUCGGCAACCAUUGGCUAGAUAUUGUAAUGCUUUAUCUGUCAAGUUAUGCAAGUGUGAAAGGUCCAAGGCACAUAAAUUGGGGCAAUUUUCACCCACAAAUUUAAGUGAUAUAUCAGUCAGUUCCACACAAUUAGCAAAAACAAGCUCCUUCAUAUUCAUGCCGCAUGCUUCAACCAUUGCAAUGACAAAACCAUCCCUAACAGUCCGAAUGCCUGCCACUGACAACACUUCUAAACGCUUGAACUUCUUAAAUGCUGGUAAAAUAAGCAUGGCAUCUAUGUUCUGACAAUCAUCCAUAUAUAGCUCCCUUAAAGUAGAUCCCAAAUGACUAGCCAGAUCAUUGAUGCUACUAGAUGUGAGAAGAGAGCACUGGCUCAGAUUUAUAGACUGUAAUACUGGUGCAGACACGGCCAGUGCACUUAGCCCACAAUCCGAUAAUCGAUGUGCACCCCUUAGAGAUAAGGUGGCUAAUUUAGAAAGUUUAUGCAAUGGCCUGGCCAAAGUGGUACACAAUACAUAAUCAGGCAUGCACAAUCCACAAAGAUCUAGUUGUAAAACAGUCAAGUUCUUGGUAUCAAGAGUACUAAAAAUUUUGCUACAUUCGUCUUCUGUCAAUUGUGAAGUAUCCCACACACGAAUCUCAGUUGGAGAAUUCCCUGCAAGAAGUUCGACAAAGCGUGCGUCCGAUUUUCUAUAACAACUAACCAUCUGACUAAGUUUAUGCUUUAAAUUGUCCGGAAUAUAUUCAAGUGACACAAUUUUAUCAGCAUUCUUGGCAAUAAAAUCGAGACAAAUAUCAAGCAGUUUAGGAACAGAGCGUUGAAAACCAUUACGGCCUCUGUUAUUUGCCGGAACCCAUUUGAACGGAGGCUCAGAUAAACCAGGUAAAGACUUCUUAUGGACAUUUUGGCUUGAAUUCCUCUUCCUGAUUGCUUUCAUUGCCAGUGCAAACGGACUUUGAGAAUCAACUUCACUCAAUUGACUAGUCGUUUCUGGGUCACUCGUUUCUUGCUGCUGCUGUUUAGGAUGUGCAAAUUUUUUAGCAACAUUUCUGGCAAUAGAACGCUGUCUUUCUAUCUCUUCAUUUCUUCUUGAUUCUUCUCUUACAAAGGCAUCAACCCUUUCCCGUUCUAACUUCGUAGCUUCCCUGGACAAAAGCGAGAGGUAAUUUUUUUCUACAAAUUCCGUAUUUAACAUCCCAAGCUCAUCACUACUGGAUGACGAUAUAUCGAUUACAUCCAUAUUUUCAAUUUGUCCUUCAAUUGGGUAUCCCCCAAAAGCUUCGAAAGGAAGAUUAAGAUCAAAAUCAGAACCAAAAUCAAAAUCAAAAUCACAAUCAAGAUUCCCUUUACCAUCAUCUAUUUUGGCCUUUGCCUUUUCUUCAAUAGUGUAUCUCCUCGUACUCGGAUAACUAGUCAUUUGAACAUCUGGGUCAGUCUCCCCUCUGCUCAAAUCACCACCAAAACUGCUACCCGUACCACUAUCAUCAACAAAUCGGUUGAAUUCCGUUAGAUUAUUCUGCGGGAACCCGAAAGGAACAGAAUCUUGAAACCCUAAUCCAGUUAAAGAAUCCUGGACAGGUAAAUUGAGAUCAAAAUAGCGUAUCUCCUUCCCUUUCCCCAAAUCCAUGAUCAAAAAAAGAAUCAAUCUUCCUCUAAUCUCCCUAGAAUCUAACGCAAAUCAAGACCCGAAAGAGAAAAGUGGAGAAGAAAGGUAAGUGGAGAAAGGGUGUUGCGAGGCAUUGAUUGAUUGAAGUGGGGAAGUUGAGACGAAAGCAAAUAUCAAUCAAAUAAUAUAAAAAUGAAAAAAACAAUUCAAGUCGCACCCAUUUCUGCACUGAUCUCCUUUCCGUGAUGUUUCGGUGGGGUUUAUAUACUUCCCGCUUAAAACUAACCGACAUUUUCGGCCUGCGUGCACUGCAG
rnacentral:misc_RNA from 1 species